AAUCGUGGGUUCAUCUCAUGGCUGACUCGAACUGGAACCUUCUGACCUUCGCAGGGGGACUAUGUUGGAGUUCAGAGUAAAGGAAUAGGUUGGAGAAAUCGGGUGGCAGGAUGAUUAGGUGACAGUUAUACACUUCAGACCACAGUGAGUCUCUAACUGCAAGCUGUCGAAAUGGUCAACAUAUUUUCUUCUUUAUUUACAGGGAAGGAGAUUGGUGGGAAGCCCGCUCCUUGACAACUGGAGAGACAGGUUACAUUCCCAGCAAUUAUGUGGCUCCGGUUGACUCUAUCCAGGCAGAAGAGUGGUACUUUGGAAAACUUGGCCGAAAAGAUGCUGAGCGACAGCUAUUGUCCUUUGGAAACCCAAGAGGUACCUUUCUUAUCCGUGAGAGUGAAACCACCAAAGGUGCCUAUUCACUUUCCAUCCGUGAUUGGGAUGAUAUGAAAGGAGACCAUGUCAAACAUUAUAAAAUUCGCAAACUUGACAAUGGUGGAUACUACAUUACCACCCGGGCCCAGUUUGAAACACUUCAGCAGCUUGUACAACAUUACUCAGAGAGAGCUGCAGGUCUCUGCUGCCGCCUAGUAGUUCCCUGUCACAAAGGGAUGCCAAGGCUUACCGAUCUGUCUGUCAAAAC
rnacentral:sRNA from 1 species